CCAUUCGAUAGCUCAGUUGGUAGAGCGGAGGACUGUAGAUCCUUAGGUCGCUGGUUCAAAUCCGGCUCGAAGGA